GACGAACGCUGGCGGCGUGCUUAACACAUGCAAGUCGAACGGAAAGGCCCUGCUUUUGUGGGGUGCUCGAGUGGCGAACGGGUGAGUAACACGUGAGUAACCUGCCCUUGACUUUGGGAUAACUUCAGGAAACUGGGGCUAAUACCGGAUAGGAGCUCCUGCUGCAUGGUGGGGGUUGGAAAGUUUCGGCGGUUGGGGAUGGACUCGCGGCUUAUCAGCUUGUUGGUGGGGUAGUGGCUUACCAAGGCUUUGACGGGUAGCCGGCCUGAGUGGGUGACCGGCCACAUUGGGACUGAGAUACGGCCCAGACUCCUACGGGAGGCAGCAGUGGGGAAUAUUGCACAAUGGGCGGAAGCCUGAUGCAGCAACGCCGCGUGCGGGAUGACGGCCUUCGGGUUGUAAACCGCUUUCGCCUGUGACGAAGCGUGAGUGACGGUAAUGGGUAAAGAAGCACCGGCUAACUACGUGCCAGCAGCCGCGGUGAUACGUAGGGUGCGAGCGUUGUCCGGAUUUAUUGGGCGUAAAGGGCUCGUAGGUGGUUGAUCGCGUCGGAAGUGUAAUCUUGGGGCUUAACCCUGAGCGUGCUUUCGAUACGGGUUGACUUGAGGAAGGUAGGGGAGAAUGGAAUUCCUGGUGGAGCGGUGGAAUGCGCAGAUAUCAGGAGGAACACCAGUGGCGAAGGCGGUUCUCUGGGCCUUUCCUGACGCUGAGGAGCGAAAGCGUGGGGAGCGAACAGGCUUAGAUACCCUGGUAGUCCACGCUGUAAACGGUGGGUACUAGGUGUGGGGUCCAUUCCACGGGUUCCGUGCCGUAGCUAACGCUUUAAGUACCCCGCCUGGGGAGUACGGCCGCAAGGCUAAAACUCAAAGGAAUUGACGGGGCCCCGCACAAGCGGCGGAGCAUGCGGAUUAAUUCGAUGCAACGCGUAGAACCUUACCUGGGUUUGACAUGGAUCGGGAGCGCUCAGAGAUGGGUGUGCCUCUUUUGGGGUCGGUUCACAGGUGGUGCAUGGCUGUCGUCAGCUCGUGUCGUGAGAUGUUGGGUUAAGUCCCGCAACGAGCGCAACCCUUGUUCACUGUUGCCAGCACGUUAUGGUGGGGACUCAGUGGAGACCGCCGGGGUCAACUCGGAGGAAGGUGGGGAUGACGUCAAGUCAUCAUGCCCCUUAUGUCCAGGGCUUCACGCAUGCUACAAUGGCUGGUACAGAGAGUGGCGAGCCUGUGAGGGUGAGCGAAUCUCGGAAAGCCGGUCUCAGUUCGGAUUGGGGUCUGCAACUCGACCUCAUGAAGUCGGAGUCGCUAGUAAUCGCAGAUCAGCAACGCUGCGGUGAAUACGUUCCCGGG
rnacentral:rRNA from 1 species